rnacentral:rRNA from 1 species
UACGUAGGGACCGAGCGUUGUCCGGAUUCAUUGGGCAUAAAGAGCUCGUAGGCGGCUGUUCAAGUCGAACGUGAAAACUCGGAGCUCAACUCCGAGCCUGCGUUCGAUACUGGACGGCUAGAGUCUGGUAGGGGGAUCUGGAAUUCCUGGUGUAGCGGUGGAAUGCGCAGAUAUCGGGAGGAACACCGGUGGCGAAGGCGGCUCUCUGGGACGGUACUGACGCUGAGACG